AUGCACUGAACCCAUGCAAUUUUAUAAAGCAAAAGCUACUCUCCUGACCUGUGAGAAUAAAUGUCACUCUGUGAUAUUGGGGAAGGAUCAUGCCCUGGAGAAUGUGCCCACCUCCCUCACUGCAGUGCAUGUAUCACUAUGAUGCCCACAGAGUAAGGAUGCUUUCUCUUCCUAAAGAAGAAUGGAACAUAUGCGAAGCAGUCAUUUUACUCACAACAAGGUCAGAGAACAAAGCACUCUGAAACCAAAUGAGGAAAUUGGGAUAUGAAGAUAAUGAUUUGGAAAUCUAUCUGAAAAUAUGUUAACCAGUCAAGACAGCAUUUAUUUUGAAGAGCGGCAUUAUAAUUUGGCAUGGGCAUUUUUUUUUCUGAGCAUUUUUUGUCACUUUCAGAAAGAUCUAUUAUGAUAUGUAGUGCUGAAGGGAACAUGUUGACAUGUCUGAGAGCUAAAACAAACGUGAAGAAUGAAGCUGAAAAUAGCCGGCUGUGAAGAAAGCAUUAAAAAGCACUGGGUGGCACUCAGCGUUGUACAUCUACAAUUCUGAGGUUUGUAGGGAGAAGGCGAUAACAUGGCACUUAUAGCCAGCUUUCCUGAGAAGGAUUUAAGAGAGGCACACCGCCUGCUACCAUAGGCUAAGGUAUCUACAUAUCUACACACUGCCAUGGCCAAUAGGGAUACACAGGAAAAAGAUGCAGCUGCACCCCCUCUUUGCACUGUGCAUUCCUGAAAAGCUCUGUGCAAAUCAAAUCCAAUGAUAAAACCAGAAAUGAUUCAUCUUUUCUGAUUGAUCUUCACUAAGAAUGACUCUUAAUCUUUAAACUUAAAGACUCUUUGUCUGAGAUACAAGGGGUAAAGCUUUCUUUUCAAUCUAGUGGAUCCUAAAUAUUAGGGUUUUUUUAAAUUCAUAAGCGAAUUUUAUUAUUUCUCCAAGAAAACAAAAAUAAACAGUAAGACUAAUUUCAGAUAAGGAUUUUUUUUUUUAAUUUGUUUGUUGGCACCCAUGUCAUGUGGAAGUUCCCAGGCCAGGGAUCCAACCCACACCACAGUUGCACAGCUGUGUCUAUGUGGGAUUCUUAACCCACUGUGGAAAAAAGGAACCUCCCUAAAUAUUAGUUGCUAUAAAGUUUUCAUCAGGCUGUGAUGAAAUAAGAAAUGUAAAGUAGUCAGUUUUUUGGAAGAAAAAUUUAUUCAAAUUAUAUUACUUUGUAUUAUUCUGAGAUUAUGUUUUUUCUUUCCUUUUUUGUAUUAAAAAUGCAAGACUUUUUUUUCUGAAAUAAUGUUGAUAAUAGAUGUUCAUUUUAGUGUUCUGCCUAAAAUCUUACUAGUUUAGGAGAUCCAAAACCAUUGGGGCCACAAUAUACAACUACCCAAACCAUCUCAAUCCAAUCCCAAGUUCCAUCACAAACACUUAAAUAAAUGUAAAACUUUCUUUUUUAAAAAAAUGACUUUUAUUUUUUCCAUUAUAGUUAUUUUUUCCACUAUAUAUAUAUUCUUUUUCUCACAUUAUCCUCCAUUAUGCUCCAUCACAAGUGACUAGAUAUAGUUCCCAGUGCUAUACAGGAGGCUCUCACUGCUUAUCCAUUCCAAAUACAGUAGUUUGCAUCUACUAACCCCAGAUUCCCAGUCUAUCCCACUCUCUUCCCCUCCCCCUCAACAACCGCAAGUCUGUUCUCCAAGUCCAUGAGAUUCUUUCCGUGGAAAGGUUCAUUUGUGCCAUAUAUUAGAUUCCAGAUAUAUGAUAUCAUAUGGCAUUUGUCUUUCUCUUUCUGGCUUACUUCAUCUAAUAUGAGAGUCUCUAGUUCCAACCAUGUUGCUGCAAAUGGCAUUAUUUUCCCUUUUUAUGGCUGAGUAGUAUUCCAUUGUGUAUAUAUACCACAUCUUCUUAAUCCAUUCAUCUGUUGAUGGACAUUUAGGUUGUUUCCUUGUCUUGGCUAUUGUGAACAUGUGGGUGCAUGUAUCUUUUUCAUUGCAAGUUGUCCAGAUAUAGGCCCAAGAGUGGGAUUUCUGGGUCAUAUGGUAGUUCUAUAUUUAGUUUUCUGAUGUACCUCUAUACUGUUUUCCAUAGCAGUUGUACCAAUUUACAAUAAAUGUAAAACUUUAUUUGUAAGGAAAAUAUGCCAUGCCUCAUCUUGUAACCCAUAGAGGUAUCUUCUAGAAUUCCUGGCUUUUAACAAUAGCUACUACAUAUCCCUUCCCUUUAGCAAACUCAUCACUCUGGUGAUAUGAAUAAUAAUAAGGUGUGUACACUUAAAAUACAAAUUCUACCACCUAGAAGUUCAUAUUUUACAGGUUACAUUUGUCAAUGCUCUUAGCAAUAAGAAAUAGAAUUAUCUCUCUCUCUCUUUUUUUUAAUUUUAUGGCUACAUCUGUGGUAUAUGUAAGUUUCCAGGCUAGUGGUUGAAUCAGAGCUGCAGUUGCCAGCCUACAUCAUGGCCACGGUAAGGCCAGAUCCUAGCUGCAUCUGUGACCUAUGCUGCAGCUUGUGGCAAUGCUGAUCCUUAAUUACUGAGCAAGGCUGGGGAUUGAACCCACAUCCUCAUGGACAUGUUGGGUUCUUAAUCUACUGAGCCACAAGAGGAACUCUAAGAAAUGGAAUUUAAGUAUUCCCUACCCUUUGAGAUUGUUUCUGAAAUUAAAUAAGAUAAUGCAUGUAAAACACAUAGGAAGAAAAAGGUUUACUAUUACCAAUUCCCUGAAGAGUUAUUUCAUGGUAAAAAUAUUGGUUAUCUUAGCACAGCCAUGCAGAUUACAAGUAAAGAUUAGAAGUAAAACUAUACUAAACCUCAAAAACAAAUAUAUGUGAUAGUUUGUGUACUCUGAUUUGCUGCACUGAGUCUGAUUUGACAUACAGUUAACAUAGGACGUUGAGUGCUUUUGCUGUCAAGCAUAAGUCUAGGUCACUAUUACCCCAUUCCCAGACCAUCACCACAGGAGAGAUUCUGCUUAGCACCCUACACCAUAAUGCAUAUUUCAGUGGGAAUGACAGAUGUUAACCACCAAAAUAUGUGAUUGUAAAUGCUGACAAGUCUAUGGCAGAAGUGCAUGGUAAAAUAGGAAUGUGUGGCUGACGGUCCCACUGUGGGCCAGCAACUUCCCUGUGGAUAUGAUAUUUGAACUCAGAUUAAUAGAACAAUUAGAAGUUAAUGAAGUAUCCCCUUCAAGGCAAGAGAUCAAGAUCAGGAAUCAGGAGGGAAUAGGGUGAAUUAAAACAUUGAAGUUUAGUGUCACUGUAGCUCAAUGGGUUAGAAGAUGGAAAAUGGUGUCAUGGUGAAGAAAAACUAUCUCCUCCGGAAAUGCAGGGGGACAAACUGAUCUGAAAAGACCCCCCACCCAAAUAAAGAUAAAAAUGAUCAACAGUUAAUGAAAGGUGCUUUUAAUUAUAUUGCCAAUUUCAAAAGGAAGCAAAAGAAAGUUCCACAAGGUAGAAAGUAAGAGGAAAAGGAAAUCUAGAGGGUUAAGACUUACAUUGCAGGGAUCCACAGUGUUUCAGAUGUUGGCCAUCUGGGUGGGAGCUAAGGUCCUAAAGCUCAUGCAGAGGCAAGAGACAGGCUGUAUGAGGUGUGGACUAGAACCACAUUCCCUACAGAAGAUCCAGGGGCUCAAUUCUCUCUCAGCCUCAGAGACUAGAUGUGCACCCACUCAUUGAUCCAUAGAAGUAUUUUCAUUUGAGCCAGACUCCAUGUGGAAAAAUAAAAACUGCAGACUUAGAGUUCCUGUUGUGGUUCAGAGGAUUAAGAGCUUGACUAGUAUCCAUGAGGAUGCAGAUUUGAUCCCUCGUCUCAUUCAGUUGAUUAAGGAUCAACAUUGCUGCAAGCUCUAGGGCAGAAGGCAGAUACAGCUCAAAUCUGGCAUAGCGAUGGCCGUGGUGUAGGCCAGAAGCUGCAGCUCUGAUUCAGCUGCUAGACUGGGAACCUCCAUAUGUCACAGGUGUGGCCCUAAAAAAACAAAAACUGGAGACCAGCUCCAGUUCAAGAUUUGAGGUAGAAAUGAACACUACCUAAACAGUGUGGAAAUAUUAAGGAGAGAAAGGAACACAAGACAUUUUUCAGAGGUCUAUGGAUAACUCUAAGGCUUCCAGCAGAAGAAUGUCCUGUUACACUGUGUAAAAUGUAUUAACAAUCAAGCAUGUUUGAACACCUCAAAAAUGUUUUAAAAUUUAACACUCCACUGAAGAUGAAUUCCCAAUUAAAAAUGACAAAUCAUACCAUAAAAUCAACCACCACAGGGGAGACAGAAGUACCUUUUCCAUGAAGAUAAAGAAGCUAAAGUUUCAAACUGUUUAGUUGCAUAAGCCUCUUCAAAGACUGUGGAAGAGGGUUUGGCAAUAUGUACUCCUGGCCAUAUAUGUAUUCAUAAAACAUUAAAGUAAGAUUUUUUUAAGGCCAAUUGAUUUACACUCUCUAUUUUCACUUGAAUUUCCCUGUCAUCAUAGUUUGUCUUGUGUUGAUGAAAGUAGAUUGACCUUGAAUAUUUUUUGGAUUCACCUAGGGGAAGCUUACUGGGAUACCCCCAUGCAGUUUCCAAUCACCUUCUUGUCUAGAUAAGUUAUUACUGAUUCACUGUAAGAGUGAGUUCCAGGCAAACUUCCAUGGCACCC
rnacentral:lncRNA from 1 species